rnacentral:lncRNA from 1 species
AAGGGGGAGUCAGGAGCGAUUCAUUUCAAGGGGGCUUGGGGACAAUUCCGGUUUGGUUUUCUGAAAAUGCGUAGGGUUGUUUUCCCAAACUUCCGAGCUACUCUGCUCUUCGUCCCAGGAAGGCCAAGCAAAUAAAAGUCCGGGGAAAGUUCCUUUAACUUCCUUCCUGCGCCCUCGACAAGGGCUGCGAAGAGGAAGAGGUCAUUUCCCAGGGAAGCACCGGGCAGGGGCCGAGAGCUGCGCCCAGCCUGCAGGGAUGGAGGCGCUGGGCGGAGGGCUGGCUGCAGACGUAGGCCCCGGAAAGCCCCUUCCCCCCACCCUACCUCAGGCCAACGGCGCCUGGAGCUGGCCCCGCUGCAGCCCUUGCUGUUUGAAGUCCCGCGGCAAAGCGGCGACAACACCGGCGCAGCCCGGCGCCCCGACCCCGGCCGCCGAGCUCCCUCCCUGCAGCACCCCGGCACCCCAGCGCCCGGCCCAACCCGGCCCGCCACAUCCGCGCCCGCGCGGCCCAGCCCGAGCCCCGGAACGAUUCCGAGCCCCACGCCGGCGCCCGGUGGCGGGAGGGGGCGCCGAGCCCGCGGCUUACCUGCGUGCUGGAUCCCCGGGCUGCUCGGAGGGGUGCGGGGCGCAGGCGAGUGCGGCCCGCAGACUCUAACUUUGUUGCUCUCGGGACGGCGCAGUCGUCACUUCCUCGCGGAGCGGGCGGUGCGGCCCGGGCUGUGCGGCCCGGGCUGUGACCCAGCGGCUCGCGCGGUGGCGCGCAGGGCCCUGCAGCCAGCCGCCCCGCCCGCGCCCCCGGCUCCGCGCGCCCCUGGCCCCAGGCGCCGUCUCCCCACUCUGCGCGCCCUCGGCUGCGGGGUAGCGGGCAGCCCUGCGCUGCCGGCCGCCUAGCCUGCACCCCCCGCCCUGGGAGGGAAGCCUCGCUCCAGCCGCGUCGUUUCCGCGCCGAAGUGCGAUCCGGGGCCCCGCGCUGGAGUCCCCUGCUCUCAGGCUGGUCUGGAAGGUGGCAGUUGCUGGAGUACCAGGGCACCAAGUGGAGGAUGUGGUAGACAGCCUCUAAGAUGCGCCCCCUGCCAAUGAUCUCUGCCUCCAGGGAGGAGCUAGAAGGCAGAGAGAAAGCCACUCAGGACUUCCCAUCCCAGAAGAUAAAGGUGAGGAAAGCAGCAGCAGCAGCCACAGGCCAGUAUUCCAGAGCAGCUUUGGGUUCCUGUCAAGACCUGCUUUGAGAAGGAGGUGGCUGUGGGGCUGGAGGGCUGGGCCUGUUCCUGAGCUGGCUGCUGGCAGCACAGCAAUGAGGCAACAUUGAGAACUGCGACACGAGGCCCAGUCCUGCUACUAAACCAACUGUGUGGACUUGCAUAGUCACUUCACCCCUCGGGCCUCCAUUUCUCCACUUUGGAAAGCAGUGUUGGGACGAUGUUAAGGGUUUGCAACCUUCCAACAUGAAGACUUAUUUUUAAAAGCAAAACAUUUCAAAGAGUCCACAUGACAGUAGUGUUCAUUUUGGCAUCUGUUGAUUUAACAAAUACAAAAUUAGGCUGGGUGUAGUUGCUAACGCCUGUAAUUCCAGCACUUUGGGAGACCGAGGCAGGAGGAUCACCUGAAAUCAGGAGUUCGAGACCAGCCUGGCCAACAUGGUGGAACUCCAUCACUACCAAAAAUACAAAAAUUAGCUGGGCUUGGUGGCACGUGCCUGUAAUCCCAGCUACUCGGGAGGCUGAGGCAGGAGAAUCAUUUGAACCCGGGAGGCAGAGGUUGCAGUGACCUGAGAUUGCACCACUGUACUCCAGCCUGGGCAACAGGGCAAGACUCCAUUAAAAAAAAAAAUACAAAAUUAGGCAUGGUGGUGUUCGUCUGUAGUCCCAUCUAUUUGAGAGGUUAAGGCGGGAGGAUCACUUGAGCUCAGGAGUUUGAGUUUGCAGUGAGCUGUGGUCUGCCUGUGAAUAGCUGCUGCAGUACAGCUUGGGCAACAUAGUGAGAUUCCAUCUCUAGUCUUUAAAAAAAGGAAAAAUACGGCCGGGCGCGGUGGCUCACACUUGUAAUCCUAGCACUUUGGGAGGUCGAGGAGAGAGGAUCACCUGAGGUCAGGAGUUCGAGACCAGCUUGGCCAACAUGGCGAAACCCAUCUCUACUAAAAAUACAAAAAUUAGCUGGGUGUGGUGGCGCACGCCUGUAAUCCUAGCUACUCAGGAGGCUGAGGCAGGAGAAUUGCUUGAACCAGGAGGGAGAGGUUGCAGUGAGCCAAGAUCGUACCACUGCGCUCCAGCUUGGGCAACAUAGAGAGAUCCCAUCUCUAUUUUUUUAAAAAGGAAAAAUACAAGGGAUACCAGAGCACUGGGCCAGUGCUUGUUAUAAAGUCCAUCAAUGGGCCAGGCACGGAGGCUCACACCUGUAAUCCCAACACUUUGGGAAGCCGAAGUGGG